UAUGAAAGUUAAAUUUUGAAAAAAAGUUAAAAGUUGAAGGUUAAAUAUUUUGUACAUGCACGUGCAAUAACAAGAAGUUUUACUAUUGGAGUCGGAGUCGCAAUUUUGUUUAACGACUUCGCUAAAAGUCUCGCAACUCCGACUCCACGACUCCAACUCCACAGGACUGGUGGGGAUAAACAAAGGAUUUACCUGUAACUACAAACUUUUUACAGAAGUUCAAUGUUUGCUCUGAGAAGUUAAAUGAACAAAAUUUAUUAAAUGAUAAAGUUGUAUCCUUGAAAGAUAUGCUGGUAUUAUUGGCACAAUGGGCAAGCAUUGAAGUGCAACUUGGUGAACUACUAAAUACAUCAAAUUCAGUUAUAAAAAUUUGAGUAUCAAAGGUAUGCUAAUUAUUGUCAUUGCUAUUAAAAGCAGUGAAGAAUUCAAGUACUUUGAAAGAAAAGAAAAUACGUAAGUAAAUGGUAAAUAUUUUUGUAUGAUUUUUUUAUGCAUUUUGUAUGAUAUCUUAGUACAAUUUAUAUACUUUAAAUAAAAUACUUUUUGAAGAUUUUUUGUAAAUGACAUUUUAUAUUAAUUUAAGUCUAAACUAAAGUUACUUUAAUUACUGCCAGGCUGUGUAUUUUUGCGAGUUAAUUAUUUGGCACAAAUUGGAGUUAAAGGCGAAGGAGAUUGUAUGUGUUAUUUACUAGGAAUAGUUUAUUAAAAUGGCCUAGUUGUAAAAUUAAAUUAUGCAGGGAGAGGAUAAAAAAUUGGAAUAGGAAAAAUGUUGAUUGCAUAUGCUGCUUUUGAAACUUUGAAGUCAAUUAAGCAUGGUUUAUGCAGACAUGUGAUAGAGAUAGCGGAAGAAAAAUAAUAAUCGUGGGCACCAAUUAUCAUAAGCUAAACACGAUUCAAUAACAAGUAGCUCAGUCAAUAUCGAAACUACUCUAUAAAUUUUAUAGUGAAUUUUUUUAUUUAAAACUCAAUGU
rnacentral:lncRNA from 1 species